rnacentral:rRNA from 1 species
CCUACGGGAGGCAGCAGUGGGGAAUUUUGGACAAUGGACGAAAGUCUGAUCCAGCAAUGCCGCGUGCAGGACGAAGGCCUUCGGGUUGUAAACUGCUUUUGUACGGAACGAAAAAGUCUUUUUUAAUAAAGAAGGCUUAUGACGGUACCGUAAGAAUAAGCACCGGCUAACUACGUGCCAGCAGCCGCGGUAAUACGUAGGGUGCAAGCGUUAAUCGGAAUUACUGGGCGUAAAGCGUCCGCAGGCGGUUCUAUAAGACAGAUGUGAAAUCCCUGGGCUCAACCUAGGAACUGCAUUUGUGACUGUAGAGCUAGAGUACGGCAGAGGGGGAUGGAAUUCCGCGUGUAGCAGUGAAAUGCGUAGAUAUGCGGAGGAACACCGAUGGCGAAGGCAAUCCCCUGGGCCUGUACUGACGCUCAUGGACGAAAGCGUGGGGAGCAAACAGGAUUAGAUACCCUGGUAGUCCACGCCCUAAACGAUGUCAACUGGUUNUUGGGUCUUCAGUGACUCAGUAACGAAGCUAACGCGUGAAGUUGACCGCCUGGGGAGGACGGCGCGAAGGUAGUAACGUUACAAUAGUUAGUUAGACGCGNGAGACGNGCGACGGACGACGACGAGGGAGGAGG